UCCCUCUUGAAACUGCAUGCUCAGUUGAAGAGGACGACCAUCCCCGGUAGAGGAGGACCAUUCUUAGGUCAAGGGUAUAUGAGUAGCUGCAUUCUCCUUGCUAGACCCUCCAAACAAAAAUCUCUCUAGAUAUCUCCUGCUAUCCUCUAGGUGGUAAAAAUGUC
rnacentral:sRNA from 1 species